UACCAGCACCCCGAGUGGUCGGGACGUUUAUUGGGCCUAAAGCAUCCGUAGCCGGUUCUACAAGUCUUCCGUUAAAUCCACCUGCUUAACAGAUGGGCUGCGGAAGAUACUAUAGAGCUAGGAGGCGGGAGAGGCAAGCGGUACUCGAUGGGUAGGGGUAAAAUCCGUUGAUCCAUUGAAGACCACCAGUGGCGAAGGCGGCUUGCCAGAACGCGCUCGACGGUGAGGGAUGAAAGCUGGGGGAGCAAACCGGAUUAGAAACCCCUGUAGUCC
rnacentral:rRNA from 1 species